GAAAUGCGAUAAGUAAUGUGAAUUGCAGAAUUCAGUGAAUCAUGGAAUCUUUGAACGCACCUUGCGCUCCUUGGUAUUCCUUGGAGCAUGCCUGUUUGAGUAUCAUGAAAUCUUCAAAGUAAAUCUUUUGUUAACUCAAUUGGUUUCUACUUUGGUAUUGGAGGUCUUUGCAGCUUCACACCUGCUCCUCUUUGUUCAUUAGCUGGAUCUCAGUGCUAUGCUUGGUUCCACUCGGCGUGAUAAGUUAUCUAUCGCUGAGGACACUGUAAAAGGUGGCCAAGGUAAAUGCAGAUGAACCGCUUCUAAUAGUCCAUUGACUUGGACAAUACUUUUAUGAUCUGAUCUCAAAUCAGGUAGGACUACCCGCUGAACUUAAGC
rnacentral:misc_RNA from 1 species